rnacentral:rRNA from 1 species
UUAAAUUGAAGAGUUUGAUCAUGGCUCAGAUUGAACGCUGGCGGCAGGCCUAACACAUGCAAGUCGAGCGGUAGCACAGAGAGCUUGCUCUCGGGUGACGAGCGGCGG